rnacentral:rRNA from 1 species
CAGUCGCCGCGGUAAUACAGAGGGUGCAAGCGUUAAUCGGAAUUACUGGGCGUAAAGCGCGCGUAGGUGGUUUGUUAAGUUGGAUGUGAAAUCCCCGGGCUCAACCUGGGAACUGCAUCCAAAACUGGCAGGCUAGAGUAGGGCAGAGGGUGGUGGAAUUUCCUGUGUAGCGGUGAAAUGCGUAGAUAUAGGAAGGAACACCAGUGGCGAAGGCGACCACCUGGGCUCAUACUGACACUGAGGUGCGAAAGCGUGGGGAGCAAACAGGAUUAGAUACCCGCGUAGUCCCUGUCUCUUAUAC